rnacentral:lncRNA from 15 species
UAGAAGAUGAAGAUAAGCUUUAAUUCUUCUACGUAAUUUUUUCUCCUCUUAUUUAAAGAAGCUGUUCAAGGUCAGCAACAUCUGGAUUAUCUGUGUGUGAACCUCCUGGCUCUCUGGACCUUGCUGACCCUGAUGACCUCUACAGAAGCCUUCAGCAACCAGAAAGUGAUCUAUACCAAACUAUCUCAAAUCCAGCCAGCAAAAUGAUAACUAGGAAAUAAACCGAGGAGAGACUGAUUCAAGUUGCGAUAUCUAUGAAAACAUUUCAACCAAAGAAUCAAUAUAACAGAGCUGUGUAAUAUGUGGAUGUUCUUUACUUACUGAGACUGUAGCUGCUGAUGGUUGCUGGCCUUCAGUUCUUUAAGAUAUCUAACAUUAUAACAUUUUAAUGUAAAGGUUUUUGUGAUAUGAAAUACUGAUAUUAAAGUUUGUUAAAACACAUCUGUAUGUAAACGUACCUUUUAUGUACACAAUAAUUUGCUCUGCAUAAAACCACUGUAGUGAUUGAUAAGUAAUAAAAUAUGAAGCCUCUUGUGGACCAUUUACAUUUUCUAACCCACAUACCUUGUUUUCUAUAUGACAUAGAGCUGUAAUGGCCUUUGANNNNNNNNNNNNNNNNNNNNAAAACUUAGUUGCAUCAUUCCCAAGAAGACUCAUGGCUGUACGUAGGCUACAAAAGGGUGCUUCUACUCAAUACUGAGCAAAGGGUCUGAAUACUUAUGACCAUGUGAUAUUUCAGUUUUUAUUUUUUAAUAAAUUUGCAAAAAUUUCUACAUUUCUGAUUUUUUUCUGUCAAGAUGGGGUGCUGAGUGUACAUUAAUGAGAAAUAAAAUG